AGAGUUUGAUCAUGGCUCAGGAUGAACGCUAGCUACAGGCUUAACACAUGCAAGUCGAGGGGAAACGACAUCGAAAGCUUGCUUUUGAUGGGCGUCGACCGGCGCACGGGUGAGUAACGCGUAUCCAACCUGCCCAUCACUUGGGGAUAACCUUGCGAAAGUAAGACUAAUACCCAAUGACGUCUCUAGAAGACAUCUGAAAGAGAUUAAAGAUUUAUCGGUGAUGGAUGGGGGAUGCGUCUGAUUAGCUUGUUGGCGGGGUAACGGCCACCAAGGCGACGAGUCAGUAGGGGUUCUGGACGAGGAAGGUCCCCCANAUUGGAACUGAGACACGGUCCAAACUCCUACGGGAGGCA
rnacentral:rRNA from 1 species